GGCCUGAUGGCCGAGUUCGGUACCACAGGUAUCGGGUUUAAAUCCCGGCUUUGCCCAUGGGUGUUGUAGUGGUUCGAAUCCACUUUAAACCG